rnacentral:rRNA from 1 species
AUCUAUGCAAGUCUAGGGUUUCGUUUACAAACCCCUGGCAGACGAGUGAGUAAUAUGUAGGAAUCGACCCUUAACACAACCAUAACCUAUCGAAAGAUAGGAUAAUAGUUGAUAGUCCAGUUUACUGGUAAAGCUUCGGCGGUUAAGGACGAGCCUGCACCCCAUCAGAUUGUUGGUAAGGUAAUGGCUUACCAAGUCUAUAACGGGUAGGGGGCGUGAAAGCGUGUACCCCCACGAUGGCACUGAGAUACGGGCCAUACAUCUACGGAUGGCAGCAAGUAGGAAUAUUGCGCAAUGGGCUGUCUAACAGCCUGACGCAGCGACGCCGCGUGUGGGAAGAAGGUUUUCGGAUUGUAAACCAACAUCAAAAAGGGACGGCUAACUUCGUGCCAGCAGCAGCGGUCAUACGGAGGUCCCAAGCAUUAUCCGGUUUCAUUUGGCGUAAAGAGUUCUGUAGGCGGUACUGUAAGUUAUGGGUUAAAUCUCUCGGCUCAACCGAGAAACUGCUUGUAAUACUGCAGCACUAGAGAUAGAUAGGGGAGGGCGGAACGUAUGGUGUAGCGGUGGAAUGCGUUGAUAUCAUACGGAACACCAAAGGCGAAGGCAGCCCUCUGGGUCUAUUCUGACGCUAAGAGACGAAAGCGUGGGUAGCGAAACGGAUUAGAUACCCGUGUAGUCCACGCCGUAAACGAUGUCUACUAGAUUCGUGUUGUCCACUGGGCAAUGCGUGUCGCAGCUAACGCAAUAAGUAGACCGCCUGGGGAGUACGGUCGCAAGAUUAAAACUCAAAGGAAUUGGCGGGGACCCGCACAAGCGGUGGAGCGCCUGCUUUAAUUCGAUGAUCAGCGAAGAACCUUACCAAGGCUUGACAUGCUUCUGCGAACCCUAAGAAACUAGGGCGUCCUUCGAGGGAGAAGCACAGAUGUUGCAUGGCUGUCGUCAGCUCGUGUCGUGAGAUGUACCGUUAAGUCGGGUAACGAGCGCAACCCUUAUUGCUAGUUGUAUCACUCUAGCGAAACUGCCCGGGCAACCGGGAGGAAGGAGAGGAUGACGGCAAGUCGGCAUUGCUCUUACGCCUUGGGCAAGACAGGCGCUACAAUGGCCAGUACAACGAGUCGCAACAUGGUAACAUGAAGCUAAUCUCUUAAAACUGGUCUCAGUUCGGAUUGAGGGCUGAAAUUCGCCCUUAUAAAGUUGGAAUCGCUAGUAAUCACAGGUCAGCAUACUGUGGUGAAUACGUUCUCGGGUCUUGCACACACUGCCCGUCAGGUCAGCAGAGUUGGGAAUACCCAAAAGCUGCAUUUU